CAUUUAAAUUGUAUUGUCUUUCCAGGCCUACACGAGCGUUUCUAAAGCUUCGCUUGGUCUCGCGGACCACAGAGAGCUAGGAAAAAUGAUGAACACGAUCAUUUUCCACACAAAAAUGGUAGAUUCUUUGGUGGAGAUGUUGGUUGAAACCUCAGAUCUUUCUAUCUUCUGUUUUUAUAGUCGUGCUUUUGAGAAGAUGUUUCAGCAGU